UACGUAGGGUGCAAGCGUUAAUCGGAAUUACUGGGCGUAAAGCGUGCGCAGGCGGUUAUGUAAGACAGAUGUGAAAUGCCCGGGCUUAACCUGGGAACUGCAUUUGUGACUGCAUGGCUAGAGUUUGGCAGAGGGGGGUAGAAUUCCACGUGUAGCAGUGAAAUGCGUAGAUAUGUGGAGGAACACCGAUGGCGAAGGCAGCCCCCCUGGGUCAAGACUGACACU
rnacentral:rRNA from 1 species